GAUGAACGCUGGCGGCGUGCUUAACACAUGCAAGUCGAACGAUGAACCGGGUGCUUGCACUCGGGGAUUAGUGGCGAACGGGUGAGUAACACGUGAGCAACCUGCCCCUGACUCUGGGAUAAGCGCUGGAAACGGCGUCUAAUACUGGAUAUGUCCCGUCACCGCAUGGUGUGCGGGUGGAAAGAUUUUUCGGUUGGGGAUGGGCUCGCGGCCUAUCAGCUUGUUGGUGGGGUAAUGGCUCACCAAGGCGUCGACGGGUAGCCGGCCUGAGAGGGUGACCGGCCACACUGGGACGGGGAAAGGGCCCAGACUCCACGGGAGGCAGCAGUGGGGAAUAUUGCACAAUGGGCGGAAGCCUGAUGCAGCAACGCCGCGUGAGGGAUGACGGCCUUCGGGUUGUAAACCUCUUUUAGCAGGGAAGAAGCGAGAGUGACGGUACCUGCAGAAAAAGCACCGGCUAACUACGUGCCAGCCGCCGCCGUAA
rnacentral:rRNA from 1 species